UAAUAGGAAAAAUUACCAUUCUUUAAAUGUUCAAUUGGUAAUAUGUAGUGCUGAUUUAAUAAUGCAUGUAGUACCUUUUCAUUGACAGAAGAUAUGUGAUGAAUCAUUACGUAUCAUGAAUGUGAAUGCUAGGUUUCCGGGGAGCACUCAUGAUGCUUAUAUUUGGAGACAUUCCGCAGUGUCUCAAGUCAUGGAAGCAAUGUACCGUCGAGAUGCGCGUAAUGUUUUUUACCUUUUAGGCGAUUCAGGAUAUCCUACACGUCCUUGGUUGCUGACACCUAUCCCGAACCCACAAGCAGGUGGGGAAGAACGUUUCAAUGAUAGGAUAUGCAGUAUUCGCAGUUUAAUUGAGAGGUGUAAUGGGGUGUUAAAGAAUCGUUUCCGAUGUUUGUUACGGCACAGAGUGUUACAUUAUACUCCGACAGUAGCUGCACGUAUUGUCAAUGCUUGUGUUGUGUUACACAAUAUGUGUAUUGCAUAUGCUGUCCCGGAGCUCCGUUACGACCAGUUUAUAGAUCAUCCCGAUUACGGGAUUUUUGCAGCAGAAGUGAGAGGUCAACCCGGUGGGAUAAACCCUGAUCUUAUAGCAGUAAGGAGAUUACAGCAAAAUAUAAUACAAAAUCAUCUUUAAUACAAAAAUGUUAAACCUAAUAUUCAAUAAAAUUACAUUA